rnacentral:misc_RNA from 1 species
UCCCUGUUACCAGGGCUGUCUCCUCUGAACAUUCAACAGAGGACGAGGGUUUCGUUCGUUCAAGGACUUAACCUCACAGCUCACGCCACGAACUGACGACGACCGUGCAAUACCUGUCUUUGGGCUCCUUGCGGCACCACUCUCUUUCAAGAGUGUUCCCAAGAUGUCAAGCCCUGGAUAAGGUUCUUCGCUUGUUGUCGAAUUAAACCACAUGCUCCACCACUUGUGCGAGCCCCCGCCAAUUCCUUUGAGUUUUAAUCUUGCGAUCGUACUUCCCAGGCGGUCAACUUGACGCGUUAGCUUCGCGACAGAAAGGGUCGACUCUCCCUAUCGCUAGUUGACAUAGUUUACGGCGUGGACUAC